GCUUUUUGCUGGCUUGUGUUACACUUGACGUCCCCAUCAAGAACUUUAUCGCUUAACGUUAGUAGUCUCCGUCUCGUGUCGCUGUCUCACGGUGUUGCACUUGAGUCGACGUCUCCAUCAAGGAAUUUGACGUGCUAGCUACUUAAGCUAGCUAGCUUAGUUGCCAAGGAAGGCUGUCGCAGUUUGACGGUGUUGCACUUGAGUCGACGUCCCAUCAAGG